GUUAAGUCAAAAUCUACAUUUCUUCAUAUUUUGAGUAGUUACUGAUUUCUCAUAUAAUAAGCAAUUAAUAACUACUACAGCUACAUUGUUGUAAUUUUUUACAUACAGCGGCUGAAAUAAAGAUUUAACACGUCACCAUUUUACUCACUAAGUAUAUUUUCAACUGUGCUGUUGUCAUGCAAAUUUCACCAGAUGGGAACAACCCAAGUAAUCCAUACAUACAAAGAAAGUAGAACAAAUAAGAUCAGAAAUUAAGUUAUGUGUAAUAAUGUGAAAUGACAUGGGUAAAAGUGUUGAACACGGUGAAUGGUAUUUAUUCAAUACUUGCAAUGACAGGUUCAAGAUGCCUCCUGUAUGCAGAAACUAGUCCCGUGCAUUGCUCUGGUGUGAUUUUGGCUCAUUCCUCCACACAAGCAGUUUUCAAAUCUUUAAGGUUCUGUGGGCUUCUUUUAUGGACCUUGAGUUUCAGUUCUUUCUAUAGAUUUUUGAUUGGAUUCAAGUCAGGUGAUUCACCGUUCCAUUCCAGCAGUUUUUGUUUUUUUUUUCCUUUGAAACCAAUUGAGAGUUUCCUUGGCAGUAUGUUUUGGAUCAUUAUUCUGAUAAAAUGUCCACGUUUGUUUCAUUUUAAUCAUCCUCGUAGAUGGCAGCUGAUUUUCGUCAAGAAUGUCUCCGUACCUUUGCCCAUUCAUGCCAUCUUCAAUAAUUUGAAGAUUACCAGUACCAUUUAUUGAAAAGCAGCCCCACACCAUCAUGUUCACACCUCUAAACUUCACUGUUGGUAUGGUGUUUUUUUAGGGUGAUGUGCAAUGUCUUGACUCACACCUUGGCAAUGAGACCUUUUUGUAGGCCAUCAAUUAGGACUGUACCAGCUGAUCUUCAUUUGCACUGACAAGGGGCUGUAUUGCUGUUUGAUUAUUGAUAGAUUUUAGGUGUUGUCUUGGCUUUCCGUGCCUUUUUGCACGUCCCUUUCUUUGUGUUCAGUACUUUUUCCCGAUGUCAUUUCACAUUACAACACACAACUUAAUUUCUCAUCUUAUUUGUUCUACAUUUUUGUAUGUAUGGAUUCCUCGGGAUGUUCCCAACAUCUGGUGAAAAUUUCAUGUCAAUAGCACCUUUGGAAAUAUAUUUAGUGAGAAGAAUGGUGACGCGUUAAAUACUUAUUUCUGCCGCUGUAUCCUUUACACCAGGGGUGUCAAACUCAUUUUUGUCGCGGGCCACACUGUAGUUACAGUUUCCCUCAGAGGGCCGUUAUAACUGUGAAACCAUAAAAAUCUUUAAUCACCAUCAUAUUUACACACAAAAUGUAUGAACUAGUUUUGGAAUCAGAAAUCAAGGGUAAUGGUUUUUUUCAACUAUUAUUAAUGUUUGAUAAAAAUGCUUACGAUAUCUCAACGUUAUAAUUUAUGAUAUAUGACAAUUUUAAAUUUUGGUGAAGAUUUUAAAAAGAAUCAUGGAAGUUGACACAUGAUUUUGCCUUAGCAGGCCACAUAAAAUCAUGUGGCGAGCCGGAUCUGGCCCCCGGGCCUUGAGUUUGACACCUGUGCUUUACAUUUUGAAAAUGAAUUUGCACAUUUUAACAAAUGUUAUUUUUGUGUUACUUUAAUUGUUCAUUUCUAUUUCUGACUUUAAUUCCUACAUUCCUGUUUGACAAAUCACCACAUACCGUUUAACAAAACUCCACAUGGUAUAACGUCUACAAACAGAAUAGUAUAGUUAUAUAUAUAUAUAUAUAUAUAUAUAUAUAUAUAUAUAUAUAUAUAUGUGUGUGUGUGUAUAAAACCCCAUUUCUAAUGAAUUUGGGAUGUGUAUAACAAAUAAAAAGAGAAUACAAUAAUUUGCAAAUCCUUUUCAACCUCAAUUAAAUUUAAUACACUACAAAGGCAAGAUUUUUUUUUUUCUUGCAAAUAUCCUCACAGUUUGAAUUUGAUGCCUGCAACACAUUCCGGAAAAGCCGGGACACGGGCAACAAAAGACUGGGAAAGUUGAAGAAUGCUAAAAAAACACUUAUGUUGAAAAUUCCACAGGUCAAGAACAGGUUAACUCCAAAAACGUCAUUCAUAAUCUAUCUAGUCCCUGCCAAUGCCGUCUAAAGACGUCACUGGCAUUUUUUAAAUCAUUCCCUGACAAUGCCGUCCAAAGACGUCAUUCAGAAUCGAGAUAUUCCCUGCCAAUGCCGUCUAAAGAUGUCAAUGGCGUUAUAUAACGGGGAUGGAUGGGGGAGGGUCUUGUGCAGUUGUGUGAUCGUCAAGCCUCUGGAUAACUGCAAUGAGGAAUAGCACCCUGUAGAGCAUAUUUGUCAAACUCAGGCCCGGGGUCCAAAUUUGGCCCACGAUGUAAUUAUAUUUGGCCCGCAAGACCAUAUCAAAUGUGUAUUAGCGCUGGCCUGCCAGUAUAUACCACAUGCGCUAGUAAUAUUACAAAUCCCAGAAUGCUUUGCUACUGUGUUGGCCCAUCAGUCGAGACCGGCGAGCGCCCCUUCCCUUUCUGUUGCAGUCGUUAGCAACUAUACUACCAGUCUCCUUGAAUUAUAAUAAAUAUCUUCCUUCAGAUUCAGUAUUUAAGCAAAAUGUAAGUUUGUUGUCAUAAGUUUAACGUUACAUUUCUGCAGAAAAGGGAAACAUGCACAUCGCAGUGGUUAUUUCAUUAAAUGGUGAGUUUGGCCUGCGACGUUGUCCCAAUUUUUUAUUUGGGCCCACCAUGAAUUUGAGUUUGACACCCCUGCUGUGGAGGGCAACAAUGCCUUGAGGUGAACGUCCCUCCCUCAUAUUGAAGAAGAGGAAGAAGAAGGAGGGGGCAGGGUGCAGGAGACAAUGAGAAGAUGCAAGCGCAUAAUAUGGCGGAAAAGAGAGAAGACAAAAUGAAAAAAAAUCCCCCAAAAAAUAAAUCUCUCGGUAAUACAAAUUUAUUGCGCCAAGGCAAGAAAAAUAUUCCUGCGACCAACAGGAAUGACGCCUUGGAUCAUGCAACGAAAUAAAGGAUGACGCUCCGAGUGUUCCUUUUGUUGCAAAGCUAUCGCCCAAAAUGCUGGGCCAUAUAGCGAGAUGCUCUCGGCCGCUUGCCAGCUGAUCGUCUGCCGACCGGGAUUUGAGUGAAUGGGAUCCGGAAUCGUGAUGAGUGAACUCCCUCUGGAUCGCCUGGAAGCAGCAGAGCUUCAUUCGGGGCUUCCUCCGGAUGAUAAUGGAGACGAAGUACUUAAACACCCGCAAGUUGAACAUCUUUUAGGAUUGCGACGAAGAAAAGUCAUGCAUCCAGCAGACGUUCGACCCCCAUUCCAGUGGGCAGUGCAGACAAAAAAGGUUGUACUUCGAGCAGAAGUAGGGACUGGUUUCAAGGACAAUGACAACCACACAACAUCCCAUUCACCGCUACCAAAGAAUAAAAUCCAGAUGUGGAUAAAACUUUGCUAGAUUUUAUGCGCAAGGUAAUAAAAACCUGGACUAUUGAGCAAACGGUUGAGGAAGAGAAUUUGGAGAAAAAAGAGCAAGUGUGGGAGUCCCAUUUGUUCAUGCAUUUUUGUCUAAUGUAAAUUCUGUACAGUUAUACUUGUAAAUAAAUUUCUCUGUCAAAAUUACUUUUUCAGUGUUGUUUUAUGUUCAGAUGGUUGAGAUUUUCACUAAAGAAAAAAAAUAUUGGUGUCCAUGUCAUUGUUAUGCUUGAUCUGUCUGCUUUCACAAAAAGGCUGUUUUCUCAAUUUUCUUUCCUGCAGAAAGACUGGGCUGAAAGUAGUGUAGCGUAUACGGGUUAAAUAAAGGUGUAAUUAAUUUAGGUGAAAAGAAUGAGCUGGAAGCGACGCCUGUGUUACUUCCGGUUUAGCGUAAUUUUAUAUUACAGCAUUAUAAAUCAAGCUAUUUUAUCUAGUAGAAGGGGGCACCACGUCACUUUUUAUGUGGAUAAAAUUUAGGGGAAGUGAAGAGAAACCUUUUUAUCAGUCUCAUAAUCGAAAGCUUGCUACACUUUAUGAAAUUUUUAUAAGAGUUCUAGACGGCCAAAGGUUUUUUUCCUCGAACCCAAACACACACAACAAUACACGUAGUGAAUUUUAUGAAAAAUUUAAUGAGAUCUAAUAGGGUAAUCUACAGGGAAACAACAUAUGACAAAAAAGAAAAAACAAACAGAAGACACAUUGUCAAAGGAAACUGACUUGUGAUGUGAGGUUGGUAGCGAGCAUGUGAUGACAAUGGGUAUAGCUGGAAUUCCUGUUCUCAUUAAUUUGAAACCCAAAUAUACACUACUCUGUACUUUAGUAGACCACAAUGUUGGACUUACGUGUGUUGACCAAUUCAGGCAGGCAGGUCGACCUUCCGGGGGUUGGCAAGGGCGCUCACGAGGGAUGGUUUGAAGAAAAAGGAGGGAAAGAGGAAAAUACGCACUUCACAAGUACAGGUUGGCCGGCGCGCUGGCAGUGCCAAUGCUUGCCAUGCGGUCAGGGAAAGCUCGCACCGCAAUUGCUUCCCAACGGCUCCUCAUCCGUAAACUGCCCGACUUCCAGAAGGGUAGCGGUGGGUAGUUGCCAGGUGCCUUCUGCGGUCCACGCUUGGCAGCGCAGAAGGGUAGCGGUGGGUAGUUGCCAGGUGCCUUCUGCGGUCCACGCUUGGCAGCGCAGCAGGGAAGUUCGGCGUCUCCCAGCAUCUGCCACCUUGUGGUGAGAGGUUGGGGGCUCUCCGGGCUGGGCCAGGCCGGCAGGUGGAACAACGAGAGAGUGAGAGAGUUCAGCGAGACAGAGCCAGAGACAUAGGAGCUUCGACCUUUUUAUCUGCUCCAGAGAGUGAGGCCGGCCCCUUUUGUCCAAAUGGAAGGCUGACUGCGCCUCUAGAAUUGCAUUUCAUCUUAGUGUAAUUUGUGGUUUAAAACCAGUGGAAUAAAAUAUUAAUAAUUGGAUUUAAGAUAACAAGACCAUUAUUCAGAGUUGCAUUGUCACACGCCCAUCCUCUUUAAUACCUGUAACGAAUGUUUCAAAUGUUAUCUAAUUGUUGAGAACACUAAUAUUUGCAA